GGGCGAAUGGUCUAGGGGUAUGAUAUUCGCUUUGCAUUGUUCUCCUGUCUGGAUUCUCCAGAACAGUUAAUGCCUGCGAAGGGUCCGGGGUUCAAAUCCCCGUUCGUCCA
rnacentral:tRNA from 1 species